CCUACGGGAGGCAGCAGUGAGGAAUAUUGGUCAAUGGACGAGAGUCUGAACCAGCCAAGUAGCGUGAAGGAUGACUGCCCUAUGGGUUGUAAACUUCUUUUAUAUGGGAAUAAAAUGUUCCACGUGUGGGAUUUUGUAUGUACCGUAUGAAUAAGGAUCGGCUAACUCCGUGCCAGCAGCCGCGGUAAUACGGAGGGUCCGAGCGUUAUCCGGAUUUAUUGGGUUUAAAGGGAGCGUAGGUGGAUUGUUAAGUCAGUUGUGAAAGUUCGCGGCUCAACCGUAAAAUUGCAGUUGAAACUGGCAGUCUUGAGUACAGUAGAGGUGGGCGGAAUUCGUGGUGUAGCGGUGAAAUGCUUAGAUAUCACGAAGAACUCCGAUUGCGAAGGCAGUUCACUGGACUGCAACUGACACUGAGGCUCGAAAGUGUGGGUAUCAAACAGGAUUAGAUACCCGAGUAGUC
rnacentral:rRNA from 1 species